rnacentral:tRNA from 1 species
GGGGAUAGAGCUCAGGGAUAAAGCAUGUGCUUCACAUGCACGAGGUCCUGGGUUCAAUUCCCAGUACCUCCA